UAGGGAAUCUUCGGCAAUGGGGGCAACCCUGACCGAGCAACGCCGCGUGAGUGAAGAAGGUUUUCGGAUCGUAAAGCUCUGUUGUAAGUCAAGAACGAGUGUGAGAGUGGAAAGUUCACACUGUGACGGUAGCUUACCAGAAAGGGACGGCUAACUACGUGCCAGCAGCCGCGGUAAUACGUAGGUCCCGAGCGUUGUCCGGAUUUAUUGGGCGUAAAGCGAGCGCAGGCGGUUUGAUAAGUCUGAAGUUAAAGGCUGUGGCUCAACCAUAGUUCGCUUUGGAAACUGUCAAACUUGAGUGCAGAAGGGGAGAGUGGAAUUCCAUGUGUAGCGGUGAAAUGCGUAGAUAUAUGGAGGAACACCGGUGGCGAAAGCGGCUCUCUGGUCUGUAACUGACGCUGAGGCUCGAAAGCGUGGGGAGCGAACAGGAUUAGAUACCCUGGUAGUCCACGCCGUNNCGAUGAGUGCUAGGUGUUGGAUCCUUUCCGGGAUUCAGUGCCGUAGCUNACGCAUUAAGCACUCCGCCUGGGGAGUACGACCGCAAGGNU
rnacentral:rRNA from 1 species